AGAGCUUAACUCUGGAACUGCCAUCAAAACUUUUCAGCUAGAGUAUGAUAGAGGAAAGCAGAAUUUCUAGUGUAGAGGUGAAAUUCGUAGAUAUUAGAAAGAAUACCAAUUGCGAAGGCAGCUUUCUGGAUCAUUACUGACACUGAGGAACGAAAGCAUGGGUAGCGAAGAGGAUUAGAUACCCUCGUAGUCCAUGCCGUAAACGAUGUGUGUUAGACGUUGGAAAUUUAUUUUCAGUGUCGCAGCGAAAGCGAUAAACACACCGCCUGGGGAGUACGACCGCAAGGUUAAAACUCAAAUGAAUUGACGGGGACCCGCACAAGUAGUGGAGCAUGUGGUUUAAUUCGAAGAUACGCGCAGAACCUUACCAACACUUGACAUGUUCGUCGCGACUCUAAGAGAUUAGAGUUUUCGGUUCGGCCGGACGAAACACAGGUGCUGCAUGGCUGUCGUCAGCUCGUGUCGUGAGAUGUUGGGUUAAGUCCCGCAACGAGCGCAACCCUCACUUUUAGUUGCCAUCAUUAAGUUGGGCACUCUGAAAGAACUGCCAGUGAUAAGCUGGAGGAAGGUGGGGAUGACGUCAAGUCCUCAUGGCCCUUACGUGUUGGGCUACACACGUGCUACAAUGGUAUCUACAACAGGAAGCAAGACGGCGACGUCAAGCAAAUCCUUAAAAGAUACCUCAGUUCGGAUUGCACUCUGCAACUCGAGUGCAUGAAGCUGGAAUUACUAGUAAUCGUGGAUCAGCGUGCCACGGUGAAUGCGUUCCCGGGUCUUGUACACACCGCCCGUCACACCAUGGGAGUUGGUUCUACCUUAAGGCAAGGUUUAAAACCCUUGACCACGGUAUAGUCAGCGACUGGGGUGAAGUCGUAACAAGGUAGCCGUAGGGGAACCUGCGGCUG
rnacentral:rRNA from 1 species